UGCUUCUGGCUCAGGUCACACCGAGCCUCACAGUUUUUUCAUUUGACUCUAAUUUUAGUACACUUAGUAAAGGAAAACUCUGUUUUUGGGUUGUUCUGGGUCUUCCUGGGGCUUGUUAGCCCAUUAUGGGUUGCAAAUGCUAAUAAAGAUUCGGGACAGCACGGGCAAGCACGUGUCCCUGAGCCAGGUCAGCCCGUGCAGCAGCAGGUGCGCUUAGUCGGGCGCUUUGUGCAGGGCCUGACGUCUGCUCGCUGCUUCGCUUCGUGUCCAUUAGCUCUGUCCCUGUCCAGGUCCCAGCUCUGGUGUACAAACCCAGCGGUGCGUGAACCAGAGACAAUAACAGCUGGGGAGCUGGUGCGCUGCGGAUGGGCCCUUGGGAAGAGAGAGACGUGCCUGCACGCAAGAGCUGUGGACAAGCGAUGCUGUGGCAGCAUCGUGAUACUAUCAGGGUUUGCAAGUGCAGCAUAUGGAGAAAUAAACAUUAUUUUUGGUACAAAAUAAACGUGAUCUUGAGUGUCUUUGCCUCCAUAUCGUAACUUUCAUGUAGAGACCAGCCUGGAGCCUCGUGGCACUGAGUCACGGGGCCUCACCCAGGCUGGAGCCGUCCCUGCGGGUGGGCUGCUGGGCACUGCUGCCGGCGGCGGGCUGGGUGCUGCCACCCUCCCGUUCCCUGCGCCAAAGAAUUCCUUGACAUCCACCCAUCCCCUGGGGAUAAACUGGUAGGCAUGGCCCUGGCCACGCAGACCGAGCCUUUCUCGUCCCCAAAGGUGUCCGUGUACCAGCAUGGCUCUGUCUGGGCAGGAUUUGGGUGAGCCUAGAGGCUGCCAGAAAUCGGGCAAGCUGCAGCUCCCUGCUGGCUGCACGACUGUCGUGGCCAGAUGGCCGCUAUAGUUGGGCAAAUGCUUUGCCACGUGCUGGUGUCCCUGGCUUCUUGUCACGGGAGCUGUUUGUCCUUGCGAGCAGUUCUGUACGUGGGGCAAGGGGACAAUGGUGCAGGGCUCCAUCAUGCGUGGCCACCCAUCGCGGGGCCAAGCACGUCUUUCGGCAGCUGCUGAUGUCCCAAUGGCAUCCACUGGUGGAUGGAGGAGGAGGAGAAGCCACGGGGAGGUCAGGGCAUCGGGG
rnacentral:lncRNA from 1 species